AGAGCAUAAUUUUGAAACUGAAAAAGCAGACCUGCUCCAGUUGGAGAAUCCCUGCCCUAAGUUACAGGAGACCUUAAGAUGUGAUAAAUUGGUGGUGCUUCAGCAUGCCCAAAUUCAGGUAAGGACAUCAGAAAGGGCGGCUGGGAGGAGACAGCGGUCAGGUCAGAGAGAGCCUCAGGACAGCAGCAACUGUGAGCUGAGCACCCCAGGGGGACUUUCUUCUGCAUCUGUGGUUCAUCUCUGCCUGUGCUGGUGAAGAAUAAAUCUGGAGCAAGUCUACAAGUGUCCACAGCUACCUUCUUGCUUCCAAACCAGUCUCUUCUUGUAUUUUUUGCCCUUCUCCUCAGCUCAGACCAUCCUCACAAGGCUUUGCACCACAGCCCAGACCAAGAACAAAACAAAGACAGUACCUGAAAUGUGAAACUUUCUGGUAUCUUGGAAGAAAUGAGUUUCUUUGUCGAAGACUGUGCAGCACAGUUGUAUGUUUCAUGAGUGAAAGAUACGGCUGGAUGUGUCUGGACAGAAGCUACACUGUACAGUGCUCCACUGAAAAAAUGGCUUUGCUGCUCGAGGCUCAGGUUAUAGGCUCCUAUUUUCAGCAAGCAUUAAAAAAUCGUUUAUAUGAAUGUCACAGAACCUCUUUUUAUGAGCUCAGCAUGGGACUGAAUGAAUUAUGAAUAGCAAUUCUCAAUGUCAUGGAAGUUACUGAAGCCAAUGAGACAUCUUUACUUGAAGGAAAACAAUGCUUGGCUACAGAAUAGCUCCAGCAGAAGCAAGAGCAGCGUGCUCACACCUCUGUGACCCUCAUACCCCACACCUCAAAGAGCCAAAAUUCAGCAUCUGUAAACCUCCCGUGUCUCAUCUGCAGAGGUGGCUUCCAGGGAAGCGUGCUUUGUCAGUGAGACAAUGUUUUCAUCGUGGGAUUCUCUCUUUGGGGUUGGAAUGAAUUCUGAAAGGCAUUUUGCUUGUUCAGGCCAGGGAGCUUCCAUCACUUGCAGUGCUGAUGAACACAGGCCACAUUCACUUGACCUGGCGGUGGCAUUUGGCUUCAUUUGAUCAGUUGGGUGAGCACCCUCGCCCUCCUGUGCAUAAGGUGGCCGGCCGGCGCCCACCCAGCCAGCCUGCUGGGGGCCUGAGCGCAGGAGGCUUUCUUUCCCAGAAUGGAAAUCAGUUUCUCAGAGGCACACCUGGUAUUCCUCAAAAUCCCAGCACUACCUCAUUGCCUCGCCAUAAAAUAGCUAAGUGCAACCGAGGAGCAAUUGUGCGGUGUCCUCCAGCCUACACAAACAGCCAUAACUCCGGUGCUCUCCAAGAAGAUGUUGGCACACUGGUGAGGUGUCCCUUGCUGCUGAUGGAUGGAGCAGCAGGUCCUCAAUGAAUCCCCACCCACCCACCACAGCCAGCCUGCAGACCUCCGCUGACGCUUCCCCUCGCUCAGCAAGCCCCAGGAGCUGCACAACUCUCGUUCAUCACAGUUUGGCAGACCUUCAGCCUUCUUCA